rnacentral:rRNA from 1 species
UAGGCGUAAAUGAUGCGAGUUAAGUGUGGGGGCAUCUACGAGAUGGCCCUGUGCUGUAGGGUAGCCGUUAAACUCGCUGCCUGGGGAGUACGGUCGCAAGGCUGAAACUUAAAGGAUUGGCGGGGGAGCACCACAAGAGGUGGAGGCUGCGGUUCAAUUGGACUCAACGCCGGAAACUCAUCGGGAGCGACAGCAGUAUGAUUGCCAGGUUGAUGACCUUGCUUGACAAGCUGAGAGGAGGUGCAUGGCGUAGUCGUGU